rnacentral:rRNA from 1 species
UGCGCAGGCGGCUUUAUAAGACAGGCGUGAAAUCCCCGGGCUUAACCUGGGAACUGCGCUUGUGACUGUAAGGCUAGAGUUUGUCAGGAGGGGGGUGGAAUUCCACGUGUAGCAGUGAAAUGCGUAGAGAUGUGGAGGAACACCGAUGGCGAAGGCAGCCCCCUGGGAUAAAACUGACGCUCAGGCACGAAAGCGUGGGGAGCAAACAGGAUUAGAUACCCUGGUAGUCCACGCCUUAAACGAUGGGUACUAGGUGUUCGGGUGUUGACCCCCUGAGUGCCGCAGUUAACGCAUUAAGUACCCCGCCUGGGACUACGGCCGCAAGGUUAAA